GGGGCGGAGCCUCCCACAUCCGGGCACCCGCCGCGCCGAGCACCGCCCUCGCGGGGGGCGGGGCGCGGCCCUGACGUCACCAGCGAGGCGGGGGAGGGAAGGGAGCGGAGUGGAGUGCAAAAUGGCGGCGGGGUGAAGCUUCUUCUGGAAAAGGAACUGCCUUGUCACUGUUGCCCUGUUUGUGGGAGUCUGAGCUGGUCUAAGGCUAGCAAAGGUUACCUUAAGAGUUCCUGGAGAAACCUGGAACCUGGAAAUCAAAUGCUGAUGCACAAAUGCUAAGAGGAAUGGGGAAUCUCCUAUACAGAAGCCUGCUCAGGAAACUAGAUAAGUAAAGGGUGACUGUGAAGUUCAGGAACAGAUUAGAAAUUCUCAUCUAAAAGAUUGAAGCAAAGCACAGCAAUAAAUGUGCAGUUCUUAGAAAUUGUUAAUGACUGAUGAAGGUUCUGUUUGGAAACUGAUACUUAGCAUGCCUUCAUGUCUGCAGGAAGGGGUGAGCUUGACUGGGAAGAACAAAGAGUCGAUUAGGGAGAUUGCACAGAAAAACCUAGCAGAAAUAAGUAAACGAAGAACAUGGGGAUGAGUGAAACUAAGUGGUGGUGAACAAAAGGUAAUUUGCACCAGAAGAAAGCAAAGCAAACACUAAUGCAUAACUGUAAGCUUUGAGUUAAUAGCAAAUCAGGAAAAAAGGCUUUGCUGGUAAGAACCAACACCAGUGGUAAUAUGGUCUAGGGAAGGCAUUUCCUGCCUUUUCUUAUUAACAGGUACAGGUAGCUAGGACAACUCUUCAACUCUUCUUUUGGGAGGGGGUGGAAUUCUAGUUGCUAGGAUGUCUAGAAAUAAAACAUUCCUAGAUUUCACUGAAAACUAGUAUUAAAACUGACUAUACUUUAGAAAAAAAAAUAAAAAUAAUAACUGAAGAUCUCCAAAAGAAAAAUAAAUUCUUAUGUAAAACGGUCUUCCUGCUUACAUCUCUUGUCACUGCAGCCUUAUCUAGCAGGUGCAAAUCUGGAGUAAAAUCAGCUAAAUGAAGUUGAACAUAGCUAGAAUUUCUUUCAUUUAACGUAAUGGGACUAAAAUAAGCAGAAGUGAGGAAUACAAUACCUUAAUUGUUACCUUUUUAAGUUCCAAGUAGAGACAGCCAAGAACUUAUGGAAAAUAUAUUUUUAAUACCUUUUUCUGUUGUGCAAAUGUGUCAAAGUUGCUUUUCUAUGUGACUUCUAAGAGAAGUUAAAAAUGCAAGUUGGCAUUUGUUAGUGUGUAGAUAAGAGGCUGUAGAAAACCAUGACUUGCAUUUAACACUUUCCAUUAUAUUACCUGUAUUUCUGACUAGCGUUUUUGCAAAUGUUGAUAUUUGAAGGUGUUUUUAGAGCAAGUUUCAGACAAUGCUGUGUUGUGUCAGUUUCUGGCUUUAGUAAAGCUCCUCUGCAGCAUAAUAACCACCAUUCAAACUAGGAUAAAUAUGUAUCUCUGUAUGAUUGGAAGCUGUUUUAGCUACAGAUAAACAAACAGAGAGAAAACUGGGGAAUUGCUUGAUUGCUGAUCCCCUAACAGUUUGAGUUGAAGACAAAUUUUGAAUACCAUGCUGUCAUCUGUGUGAAAAAUUAAGUAGCUUGUUAGAGCUUUCAAGGAAAACAUGAUGCAGCAUGAUCACGUGUAUUUGUGUAAAUGUUCAAGGCCCCCUCAGCUGAGAAUAUGAGACCACACUGAGGAGUGGACCUUGAAAUAGCAGAAAAACGCCAGAAUUCUCUGAGGAAAUACAGCAGCAAGAUCUCCUGUACAAGAACAGGUCACUCGCCAGUAAACUGAGCCAAGAUACUCAGCUCUGUUGCAGAUUGUGCUAUUGUGACAAAUGUUGCUAAUCCAGCAUCAUGCACCUUUACCUACUUCGGACAGAAAUGGGGAGAACAGGGUAA